rnacentral:sRNA from 1 species
UUUUCCUUUGUCUCUCUCUUUU